CAGCUUGCUGGGUGGAUUAGUGGCGAACGGGUGAGUAACACGUGAGUAACCUGCCCCUGACUCUGGGAUAAGCGUUGGAAACGACGUCUAAUACUGGAUAUGAUCACUGGCCGCAUGGUCUGGUGGUGGAAAGAUUUUUUGGUUGGGGAUGGACUCGCGGCCUAUCAGCUUGUUGGUGAGGUAAUGGCUCACCAAGGCGACGACGGGUAGCCGGCCUGAGAGGGUGACCGGCCACACUGGGACUGAGACACGGCCCAGACUCCUACGGGAGGCAGCAGUGGGGAAUAUUGCACAAUGGGCGAAAGCCUGAUGCAGCAACGCCGCGUGAGGGAUGACGGCCUUCGGGUUGUAAACCUCUUUUAGUAGGGAAGAAGCGAAAGUGACGGUACCUGCAGAAAAAGCACCGGCUAACUACGUGCCAGCAGCCGCGGUAAUACGUAGGGUGCAAGCGUUGUCCGGAAUUAUUGGGCGUAAAGAGCUCGUAGGCGGUUUGUCGCGUCUGCUGUGAAAUCCCGAGGCUCAACCUCGGGCUUGCAGUGGGUACGGGCAGACUAGAAUGCGGUAGGGGAAAUUGGAAUUCCUGGGG
rnacentral:rRNA from 1 species